rnacentral:rRNA from 1 species
GAGUUUGAUCUUGGCUCAGAUUGAACGCUGGCGGCAGGCCUAACACAUGCAAGUCGAGCGGAUGAAGGGAGCUUGCUCCUGGAUUCAGCGGCGGACGGGUGAGUAAUGCCUAGGAAUCUGCCUGGGUAGUGGGGGAUAACGUCCGGAAACGGGCGCUAAUACCGCAUACGUCCUGAGGGAGAAAGUGGGGGAUCUUCGGACCUCACGCUAUCAGACGAGCCUAGGUCGGAUUAGCUAGUUGGUGGGGUAAAGGCCUACCAAGGCGACGAUCCGUAACUGGUCUGAGAGGAUGAUCAGUCACACUGGAACUGAGACACGGUCCAGACUCCUACGGGAGGCAGCAGUGGGGAAUAUUGGACAAUGGGCGAAAGCCUGAUCCAGCCAUGCCGCGUGUGUGAAGAAGGUCUUCGGAUUGUAAAGCACUUUAAGUUGGGAGGAAGGGCAGUAAGUUAAUACCUUGCUGUUUUGACGUUACCAACAGAAUAAGCACCGGCUAACUUCGUGCCAGCAGCCGCAGU